GGCCACGUGGCGGAGUGGUUACGCUACGGAUUGCAAAUCCGUCUACGGGGGUUCGAUUCCCUCCGUGGCCU
rnacentral:tRNA from 1 species